CCUACGGGAGACAGCAGUGGGGAAUAUUGCGCAAUGGGCGAAAGCCUGACGCAGCGACGCCGCGUGAGGGAUGAAGGUCUUCGGAUCGUAAACCUCUGUCAGCAGGGAAGAACGGUCACUGUGCUAAUCAGCAGUGAAUUGACGGUACCUGCAAAGGAAGCACCGGCUAACUCCGUGCCAGCAGCCGCGGUAAUACGGAGGGUGCGAGCGUUAAUCGGAAUUACUGGGCGUAAAGCGCUCGUAGGCGGUAUGUCAAGUCAAGGGGGAAAUCCCCGCGCUCAACGUGGGAACUGCCGUUGAAACUGGCAAACUGGAGUGUGUGAGAGGAUAGUGGAAUUCCAGGUGUAGGAGUGAAAUCCGUAGAUAUCUGGAGGAACAUCAGUGGCGAAGGCGACUAUCUGGCACAUAACUGACGCUGAGGAGCGAAAGCGUGGGUAGCAAACAGGAUUAGAUACCCCGGUAGUC
rnacentral:rRNA from 1 species